rnacentral:rRNA from 1 species
AUUUUGAUUUUGCUUGCAAAAUCUCGUGCUGACGAGCGGCGAACGGGUGAGUAACGCGUAGGAAUCUACCUAGUAGAAGGGGAUAGCCCGAGGAAACUCGGAUUAAUACCGUAUACGUCCUUAGGGAGAAAGAGGGCUUAGCUUUGAUGCUCUCGCUAUUAGAUGAGCCUGCGUAAGAUUAGCUUGUUGGUGAGGUAAAGGCUCACCAAGGCGACGAUCUUUAGCUGGUCUGAGAGGACGAUCAGCCACAUUGGGACUGAGACACGGCCCAGACUCCUACGGGAGGCAGCAGUGGGGAAUAUUGGACAAUGGGCGCAAGCCUGAUCCAGCCAUACCGCGUGUGUGAAGAAGGCCUUCGGGUUGUAAAGCACUUUAAGUAAGGAAGAAAAGAGUAUUGUUAAUACCAAUACUCCGUGACAUUACUUACAGAAUAAGGACCGGCUAAUUCCGUGCCAGCAGCCGCGGUAAUACGGAAGGUCCAAGCGUUAAUCGGAAUUACUGGGCGUAAAGCGCGCGUAGGUGGUUUAUUAAGUUGGGUGUGAAAGCCCCGGGCUCAACCUGGGAACUGCAUCCAAAACUGAUUCACUAGAGUACGAAAGAGGAAAGUAGAAUUCACAGUGUAGCGGUGGAAUGCGUAGAUAUUGUGAAG